rnacentral:rRNA from 1 species
CCUACGGGAGGCAGCAGUGAGGAAUAUUGGUCAAUGGACGAGAGUCUGAACCAGCCAAGUAGCGUGAAGGAUGACUGCCCUAUGGGUUGUAAACUUCUUUUAUAUGGGAAUAAAAUGUUCCACGUGUGGGAUUUUGUAUGUACCGUAUGAAUAAGGAUCGGCUAACUCCGUGCCAGCAGCCGCGGUAAUACGGAGGAUCCGAGCGUUAUCCGGAUUUAUUGGGUUUAAAGGGAGCGUAGGUGGAUUGUUAAGUCAGUUGUGAAAGUUUGCGGCUCAACCGUAAAAUUGCAGUUGAAACUGGCAGUCGUGAGUACAGUAGAGGUGGGCGGAAUUCGUGGUGUAGCGGUGAAAUGCUUAGAUAUCACGAAGAACUCCGAUUGCGAAGGCAGCUCACUGGACUGCAACUGACACUGAGGCUCGAAAGUGUGGGUAUCAAACAGGAUUAGAUACCCCUGUAGUC